UGGUUGGUUCUGUUGGCUGCCUGCUAAUGAGUAAAUCAUUCAGGCGGAACUAGAGCGUAUCGGGGUGCUCGGUUGAUUGUUUAAGUAAUUGUCAACUAUCGGACAUCAAAGAUGAGAAGAGGCUGUGUUAUAUGAGAAGAUGAUCGGAGUUGAAAUUGACCAUGAAAGUAGUUAUUAGAAAAUGUAUUUGCGAUCUGGUUACCUCGGCUUUCGGUGUUCAUGGAUCGUCAAAUUUACGCUGCCUGUCACGCUGCUAGCUUCUUCUCCACCUUCUCAUUUCGCGAAAAAGGCGCCAAUGAGCUGUUCGCGAACUCCUCUGGCCAGUGACACAAGCGAAACUGCACAACAGACGCUGCCUUCUGCGGUAAGGUAUUCCUUGAAUUGGGAGGAAGAAAACGUGACGAAAUGAACUUCGCAACGAGCGAUGGGUAGGAUAGAAAUAAGAUGGAGAUUUAUUUAGUAGUCUCCUGACUACUCAUCCAUCUCACGGUGAUGGGGAAAAGGAAAAGCGAAAAAACGUUUGGCACACGGACAAGUGACUGUCUUCUGGUUAGCAAUCGUUCAUAAACAGGAGGGAAUUAUGAUGUAGUGAAAAUUUUCGUUGGCACAACACACAUGUAACCAGUCGUCGGGUGCCGAUGCAAAUUGUAUGUACAAUUGGUGGUCGCACACCUGAAUGCGGAUUGACUAAUGGGUGGAAGAAAAUAUGAAGAAAUUUCUCGCCAAGCAACUCAUCUGUGAAGAAUGUCGUCGAUAAGUUUGUGCAUAUUUUUCUGCGGCUCUUAGCAAAACCGUUUGAGGCGUGUGUUGCCUUACCAUGGGAAGGAAAUAAUAAACGGUCCAAAAAUAAUCCA